rnacentral:rRNA from 1 species
GACGAACGCUGGCGGCGUGCUUAACACAUGCAAGUCGAGCGGUAAGGCCCUUUCGGGGGUACACGAGCGGCGAACGGGUGAGUAACACGUGGGUGACCUGCCCUUAGCUCUGGGAUAAGCCUGGGAAACUGGGUCUAAUACCGGAUAUGACUCCAUGACGCAUGUAGUGGGGUGGAAAGCCUUGUGCGGCUAGGGAUGGGCCCGCGGCCUAUCAGCUUGUUGGUGGGGUGAUGGCCACCAAGGCGACGACGGGUAGCCGGCCUGAGAGGGCGACCGGCCACACUGGGACUGAGACACGGCCCAGACUCCUACGGGAGGCAGCAGUGGGGAAUCUUGCGCAAUGGGCGAAAGCCUGACGCAGCGACGCCGCGUGAGGGAUGACGGCCUCGG